GGGACCUCACUACCUCACAUGCAGCCUAAUGUUUGUGAGAACUGCCUCCUUUGUGCUGAGCCCAAAUCUAUCCCUUUAGCUGCCUGAGUCACCACCCCACACCCACGGUUUGCAGAUGAGGGAAGCUGCUCUAGAGAGGAAAAGGGACUUGCCAAUGUCAUACAGUGAGUGGCAGAACCUGAACUAGCCCUCUGGACCUUUUGUCUUCAAGAGUUCUUUGUAAUAAAAUAUAAUAAUUUAAAAUAAAAAUAACUAGUUAGGACCAAGCAAUUUGCUUGGUGUUGUACACUGACUGUGUCACAGCUCUAGCGAGCAGGUUAUUAUCCCAACUUUACAGAUAAGGGAGCAGGCCCAGAGGGGUUGAGGUUUAGCUUAGGGCCACACAACUGGGAAGUCCGGGAGCCAGAAUUUGAAUCCAGGUCUGAUUGCAGAGUUCCCAGCCACCAUGGUGUGCCAUCUCAUGUACAGCAUGGCACCGACUCGACUGUCAGCUCUGAUUAGCCUGCGGGUCAUCUCAGAAAAUCAAAUUUUAAAACUAAGCAGCCAGUGGAUAAGACUCGGUGCUUUCACUGCCAUGGCCCUGGUUCAAUACCUGGUCGGGGAACUAAGAUCCCGCAAGCCUCGCGGGGUGGCCAAAAAUAAAAUAAAAACUAAGCAACCAACAGAGAAAAUAUAUUUGGGUGAGUGCUGGAGAGCUGGUUGGAUUGCAAGUCCAACAGAAUUGAGACUGACUUAUUCUAUCCCCAGGAUCUUAGGAGGAAGACACCCAACUUGUCAGCUGAGGCUCAUAUUACAGAAUCCGCUGGGCUUUGGGAAACUGGAAUGGAGAACUAGGCAGAGACACCUCCCAUCUCUUAUUCGGAUUUCAUCCCAUCCUCCCAGGUUCAGGGAAGCUGGAGAGAGGUCACCGUUCUGGCUUCCCCAACCCCCUUCUCCACCUUAACACAGGGAAGGAGGAAGCAGAGAGAGCGGGAAACACAUCCCACUGAUAUUUACUGAGAACUUACUAUGGGCCAGCCACUGUGCUGGAUGUGAGGAAACUGAGUGACACAAAGUCCCUUCCCUCUUGGAUCCUACAGUUCAGUGGGGUAGACAGAAAUGUAAAAGACAAAAGGAAAAAAUAGGAGUCUGAGAUGGGGGGAUUAGUGGAGAGGUCUUUAAGGAGGUGACAUGUGAGCUGAGCCUUCAGUGACUAGAAGAACCAGGAUGGAGUGGAGGAAGAGCAUUCCAGGCAGAGGAUAGAGCAAGUGCAAAGGCCCUGGGGCACAAGGAGUUUGGCGUGUUCCCAGUAAGAAAGAUCAGCUACAGCGCAGUGAGCCAGGGACAGUGGUGAGAGAUAAGGUCAGGCAGGAUGGGGGACUGGAGUGAGGAAUUUAUAUUUUGGCUUAAAUGCACAUCAGCCCCACCCACUGAGAAACGUGGUCCAAUAGACACCCAUCUCUCUUCAAUCUCUCCAGUCCCAAACGUAAUCCAUCUAUCUAUAAGCAGGAGCCCAGGAGAGGAAGUGGAGGCACUGGAGAUGUUCCUCCAAUAGGACUCCCUCUCACCUCGCAGAAGUGGAGAACUAAGGUUCCUUCUGACAACAGUGAUGGGGGUGGUUAAAAUCCUCCUUGCUGCUCUUCUCACUCAGGAGUGAAGUGAAUCCCACCAGAAAUGUGUUGAUUAGCACAGGGGAGUGCCUGGCCGCCAGGGUCUUCCUUGAGAGUUUCUUUGAUAAAAGACUUUUAAAAAUCCCCUUAAAAUCUGAUCUUGACCUCCCAGGCAUGUCUCCAAGUUAGGCAGGGAACCCAAGGGUCUUCGGGGUGUGAAGUCCCAGCCCUCAUCUCUGCUCUCUCUGUCUCCUUUGUCCUGCCUGUGUCUUCAUUUUUUUCAUCUGUAAAAUAAGAAGGAUAAUAAAAUCUGCAUUGGAGUGUUGUCCUGAAGUUAGUCUACAUUAUCAUCUGCUGGGUUUACUCCAACCUGGCGGGGGCACAGGUAACAAGAGUGAAAAGAUACAACCAGCUUAGAAAUCUAGAAUUCUCCGCCUCAGCCACUGCUCUGGGCUUCCUCCCGUGGACCAGAACCAAACAAACAACCAAAAUGUUGCCUGCCCUUUCAGUCAACGAAGAAUGGUGUCUGCAUUCUGGUAAACAAAACUAUUGCCCACCAUCAAGCCUUCAGCCACUGCAGCUGCCCCAGGACAGUGAGCCCCGAAGGGAAUUCGGGAGAAAAACAGGAUACGCGCCCUAGACAGUUAAGAUGCCCAGACUCUCGCAUCUUCCCAAACACAGAAAAGCACUAAAAUCAUUAACUUGAGAUGUCUGCUUUUUCUUGUGAUUAGCAAUAAUCUUUCGACGUUCUACUACAUGUUUUGUUUUGUUUCCGCAAAAACUCCUAUAGAUCCAGGCUGCUCUCUUACCUCUUUGGAACAGUUCCUCAGAGCGGUCUGAGAGGCUGUAUCUCAGGCUAUAUAGUUCUCAGUAAUGUCCCUGAAUAAAACAUAAUUCUCAGCUU
rnacentral:lncRNA from 1 species